GUUUGAAUAUUGUUGCAGAAGGUGCGUUGGAAUUAAAAGACCAACAGGAUCCUUAGUGUAUCUACGACUUCUAAUGACCUGGAUGGUUAGUUCCCACUUUGUCCGUCCUCUUAUCCUAUUCCUACCCACCACAAUCCUUUGAGACAUCAGCAAACACUAGACAGAUCCACUGCAAUCACGAAGAAGAAUCACCCUUUUCUACACAGGGCCAUUUUUCCACGAUGCUACAUUGGCCAUCACAGAGCACAGUAAAUUCAUGAUGAGAUAAUGCUGGAAAACAAAUGACAGUAAAAUCUUUGAAAUGUCCAUCUGUGUCUGUGGGGGAACGAGCAGCAAACUUAUGGAAAAGGAAGCGAGCUAAGGAGAUAAGACUUCGACUUGAGAGGCUUUGUGAUGAUACAAAGAUUCCUGGAAGGAGUAACGGAUGACAUCACUAGAAACCAAGAAGAUGGUAAGGCCUGGAGGUGGCAGAGCUGAAGAGUUCAGAGAAGGAAGCCUGAUGAAGAAAUACAAUUCUAAUGCACAUAUGAAGGGGAUGGACAGUGUUGGAACAAGAUGGUCUUGGAUUCAGAAAUAAAAGGAGUCAGAAGCUGAAGACCUAAGGGUAACACAAGACGUCCAGGUCCUGAAAGCAG
rnacentral:lncRNA from 1 species